ensembl:snoRNA
UGUGCAUUUAGGAAAACAAAACCAUUCUGUGUCAUAUAUGAGUCAGUAGGUGGCAGAAAGGAGAGGGGCUAUGUCCCCUCAAUGUUCUGACCUAUGAACACCAGAAUGAUUAGUAGCCUAAUAGU